AUUGAACGCUGGCGGCAGGCCUAACACAUGCAAGUCGAGCGGAGCGGCGGACGGGUGAGUAAUGCCUAGGAAUCUGCCUGGUAGUGGGGGAUAACGUCCGGAAACGGGCGCUAAUACCGCAUACUAUCAGAUGAGCCUAGGUCGGAUUAGCUAGGUGUGGGGGUAAAGGCCUACCAAGGCGACGAUCCGUAACUGGUCUGAGAGGAGGAUCAGUCACACUGGAACUGAGACACGGUCCAGACUCCUACGGGAGGCAGCAGUGGGGAAUAUUGGACAAUGGGCGAAAGCCUGAUGCAGCCAUGCCGCGUGUGUGAAGAAGGCCUUCGGAUUGUAAAGCACUUUCAGCUGGGAGGCGUUACCCGCAGAAUAAGCACCGGCUAACUCCGUGCCAGCAGCCGCGGUAAUUC
rnacentral:rRNA from 1 species